rnacentral:rRNA from 1 species
UACGAAGGGGGCUAGCGUUGCUCGGAAUCACUGGGCGUAAAGGGUGCGUAGGCGGGUCUUUAAGUCAGGGGUGAAAUCCUGGAGCUCAACUCCAGAACUGCCUUUGAUACUGAGGAUCUUGAGUCCGGGAGAGGUGAGUGGAACUGCGAGUGUAGAGGUGAAAUUCGUAGAUAUUGGGUAGAACACCGGUGGCGAAGGCGGCCACCUGGACAGCGACUGACGCUAAGACGCGAAAGCGUGGGGAGCGAACAGG